GAUGAACGCUGGCGGCGUGCCUAAUACAUGCAAGUCGAGCGAACGGACGAGAAGCUUGCUUCUCUGAUGUUAGCGGCGGAAGGGUGAGUAACACGUGGAUAACCUACCUAUAAGACUGGGAUAACUUCGGGAAACCGUAGCUAAUACCGGAUAAUAUUUUGAAACGCAUGGUUCAAAAGUGAAAGACGGUCUUGCUGUCACUUAUAGAUGGAUCCGCGCUGCAUUAGCUAGUUGGUAAGGUAACGGCUUACCAAGGCAACGAUGCAUAGCCGACCUGAGAGGGUGAUCGGCCACACUGGAACUGAGACACGGUCCAGACUCCUACGGGAGGCAGCAGUAGGGAAUCUUCCGCAAUGGGCGAAAGCCUGACGGAGCAACGCCGCGUGAGUGAUGAAGGUCUUUGGAUCGUAAAACUCUGUUAUUAGGGAAGAACAUAUGUGUAAGUAACUGUGCACAUCUUGACGGUACCUAAUCAGAAAGCCACGGCUAACUACGUG
rnacentral:rRNA from 1 species